rnacentral:rRNA from 1 species
AUUGAACGCUGGCGGCAUGCCUUACACAUGCAAGUCGAACGGCAGCACGGGAGUAAUCCUGGUGGCGAGUGGCGAACGGGUGAGUAAUACAUCGGAACGUGCCCAGUAGUGGGGGAUAGCCCGGCGAAAGCCGGAUUAAUACCGCAUACGACCUACGGGUGAAAGCGGGGGAUCGCAAGACCUCGCGCUAUCGGAGCGGCCGAUGUCAGAUUAGGUUGUUGGUGGGGAAAGGCCUACCAAGCCGACGAUCUGUAGCUGGUCUGAGAGGACGACCAGCCACACUGGGACUGAGACACGGCCCAGACUCCUACGGGAGGCAGCAGUGGGGAAUUUUGGACAAUGGGGCAACCCUGAUCCAGCCAUGCCGCGUGCGGGAAGAAGGCCU